rnacentral:rRNA from 1 species
AACCUGGUUGAUCCUCCAGUAGUCAUAUGCUUGUCUUAAAGAUUAAGCCAUGCAUGUGUAAGUAUAAAUAGUAUACAGUGAAACUGCGAAUGGCUCAUUAAAACAGUUAUAGUUUAUUUGAGAAUGUUUUUAUAUAUGGAUAACCGUAGUAAAAUUCUAGAGCUAAUACAUGCUGUAAACCUGACUUUUGGGAAGGGUUGUAUUUAUUAGAUCCCAACCAAUACUCUUUCGGGAGGAUUGUGAUGAUUCAUAAUAACUGGUCGUAUGAAGGCUUGGCCUUGAUAGAUCAUUCAAGUUUCUGCCCUAUCAGCUUUCGAUGGUAGUGUAUUGGACUACCAUGGCAGUCACGGGUAACGGGGAAUUAGGGUUCGAUUCCGGAGAGGGAGCCUGAGAAACGGCUACCAUCUAAGGAAGGCAGCAGGCGCGUAAAUUACCCAAUCCUGACUCAGGGAGGUAGUGACAAGAAAUAAUAACUCGUGGAACUUUUAGUUCUUUCGAGAUUAGAAUGAGAACAAUUUAAAAUCCUUAUCGAGGAACAAUUGGAGGGCAAGUCUGGUGCCAGCAGCCGCGGUAAUUCCAGCUCCAAUAGCGUAUAUUAAAGUUGUUGCAGUUAAAAAGCUCGUAGUUGAACUUCUGACUGUCAGAAGAUGGCCUCGGUCGGGCUAGGAGUGGUCAUCCGUCUAUGAACUACGUUCGGCCUUCACUGGUUCGGCGUAGCUAGUAGACAAUUUACUUUGAAAAAAUUAGAGUGUUUCAGGCAGGCAAUCGCCCGAAUACAUUAGCAUGGAAUAAUGGAAUAGGACUUUGGUCUAUUUUAUUGGUUAUUAGGCCAGAGUAAUGAUAAAUAGGGACAGUUGGGGGCAUUAGUAUUUAAUUGUCAGAGGUGAAAUUCUUGGAUUUAUUAAAGACUAACUAAUGCGAAAGCAUUUGCCAAGGAUGUUUUCAUUAAUCAAGAACGAAAGUUAGGGGAUCGAAGACGAUCAGAUACCGUCGUAGUCCUAACCAUAAACUAUACCGACUAGGGAUUGGUAGGGUAUAACUCACUCUAUCAGCACCUAAUGAGAAAUCAAAGUCUUUGGGUUCUUGGGGGAGUAUGGUCGCAAGGCUGAAACUUAAAGGAAUAGACGGAAGCGCACUACCAGGAGUGGAGUCUGCGGCUUAAUUUGAUUCAACACGGGGAAACUUACCAUGUUAAGACAUGGAUAGGAUUGACAGAAUGAGAGCUCUUUCUUGAUUCUUUGGGUGGUGGUGCAUGGCCGUUCUUAGUUGGUGGAGUGAUUUGUCUGGUUAAUUCCGUUAACGAACGAGACCUUAACCUGCUAACUAGUUGCUGCUAACAACUAGCAGUGAACUUCUUAGAGGGACUAUGUGCGUUAAUCACAUGGAAGUUUGAGGCAAUAACAGGUCCGUGAUGCCCUUAGAUAUCCUGGGCCGCACGCGCGCUACACUGACGUAUGCAACAAGUUCUAUCCUGACCUGAAAAGGAGUGGGUAAUCUUUACAAUGUACGUCGUGCUAGGGAUAGAUCUUUGCAAUUUUGGAUCUUGAACUAGGAAUUCCUAGUAAGCAUAAGUCAUCAGCUUGUGCUGAUUACGUCCCUGCCCUUUGUACACACCGCCCGUCGCUCCUACCGAUUUCGAGUGAUCCGGUGAACCUUCUGGACUGCGUGAGUCUUCAAGGCUCGUGCGGGAAGUUAAGUAAACCUUAUCACUUAGAGGAAGGAGAAGUCGUAACAAGGUUUCCGUAGGUGAACCUGCAGAAGGAUCA